AGCAACGCCGCGUGAACGAUGAAGGUCUUCGGAUCGUAAAGUUCUGUUGUUAGGGAAGAACAAGUACCGUGCGAAUAGAGCGGUACCUUGACGGUACCUAACGAGGAAGCCCCGGCUAACUACGUGCCAGCAGCCGCGGUAAUACGUAGGGGGCAAGCGUUGUCCGGAAUUAUUGGGCGUAAAGCGCGCGCAGGCGGUUCCUUAAGUCUGAUGUGAAAGCCCACGGCUCAACCGUGGAGGGUCAUUGGAAACUGGGGAACUUGAGGACAGAAGAGGAGAGUGGAAUUCCACGUGUAGCGGUGAAAUGCGUAGAUAUGU
rnacentral:rRNA from 1 species